rnacentral:misc_RNA from 1 species
AAAAUACUUGCUAUGGGAAUACCGACGUUCAGACAAUAUGCCAAAUACGUUUUUAAAAAGACACUCAUUUCGAAUGUUUCUGGUAUUGUUUCAACCAAAUCGAUAAAGAAGGCCCUCUGGAAAUCAUUGGUGUUCGUUGCAUGCAUAAUAGGAUUCUUUUACCAAACUGGCGAUUUUCUAAAUUUGUAUUUUACCUAUCCAACAAUUGUUAACGUGGAAGAAAGUAACCCGUUUGAAGUAGUUCUUCCAGCUAUAACUAUUUGUAGCAAUAACAGAUUCAGUCGGCAAGUUUCAUGUGAAAAACACGGUAAUUGGUGCACAUUUUAUGAGAAUGAUGACUUUUGUGAAACAUAUUCUCGAUUUUGUAACACACCCAAUAAUUAUUACAAAAAAAUUCCUCAAAAUGUUUUUAAACAGUUUGAGGAGAAUAAUAAAUCCUGGGACGUUGCAGAUGAAUUAUUUCCAAAGCAGCCAAUCAUUCGUGAGUGCCGGAUGGGUACAAGCAUAAAAAGUUAUGAGUGCAAUGGCCUGAGCCAUACGAAUCAACAAAUGAAAAUUCCUUUUUUGAGUGUAGACAAUAAACCGUCAUACUGCUACGUAAUAGCAUCCCAGCUUCAUCAGCCAGAUUCUCAAGAAGAAAUAUAUCCGAAUUCAUUGUAUUAUGAUAUAAAACUGAAUACUUAUGCUGAAGACUACUUCUUCAUCGAUUCUCCGGUUGUAUUGUAUAUUGCAGUCCAUAAUAGAAAAGAUCUGGUAAACCCUUUCAGGAAAGGAGUGACUCUUAAAGGCGGUCACGGAUAUCGAGCCUUUGUUUCAAUGGCUGAAGUAGAACGACUCCCUUAUCCAUAUAGUACUAAUUGUACAGAUUAUAUCAAGCUCUGGCGGGAAAAUGGUGGCAAAGGACCGCUAACUCAAGUAGAAUGCAUUGAAUAUUGCAAAUUAAAUUUCAUAAAAUCUAUUGGAGAGUGUGUGGAUGAACAUAUAUCUUAUUCUCACUUAGAAGAACUCUGUGCAACAGGUCAUGAAACUAUUACCUAUGACAUUAUCAAGGAUUGUUUUAAGCAAUGCCAGCCAGCAUGUGUGGAAAACUCAUACGAAGUCACCUAUGAAGAACUUGAACUUGAUUCUCAAAAUACUUCAAGAAGUUGAUAUAAAGUUUUCGUUUCGCCAGUUUCAACUGACACGGCAAGUUUUUCAACCUAAAUUUGAUAGCAUUGAAGUUUUCAGUUAUGUUGGUGGUUAUAUGGGCAUUUGGUUAGGUAUAAGCUUGGUAUCCAUAUUUGACGUUUUGGAAUCCAUCAUGAUGUUACUUUGCUUUUGGAUAAGGACCAAAAAAAGAAGGAAAAAAC